UACGGAGGAUGCGAGCGUUAUCCGGAUUUAUUGGGUUUAAAGGGUGCGCAGGCGGUCUGUUAAGUCAGCGGUCAAAGCCCGGGGCUCAACCCCGGCCCGCCGUUGAAACUGGCGUUCUUGAGUGGGCGAGAAGUAUGCGGAAUGCGUGGUGUAGCGGUGAAAUGCAUAGAUAUCACGCAGAACUCCGAUUGCGAAGGCAGCAUACCGGCGCCCUACUGACGCUGAGGCACGAAAGCGUGGGUAUCGAACAGG
rnacentral:rRNA from 1 species